UUUUUUGAAAGGGUGCUUUUAUGAGAUAGAGAUUUUUUAGAUAAUGCUUUUUUAGAUAAUGCUGGGGAAGGUUUUCCGGUUUAUCUCGGAGGGCUUGUAGCUCAGUUGGUUAGAGCGCGCGCUUGAUAAGCGUGAGGUCGGAGGUUCAAGUCCUCCCAGGCCCACCAAUUUACCUAUCCAUUUGCCUUUAUCUGUUUAUUUGCCGAUUUAUCGGUCCAUUGAAUUUAAGUGUUGGUAGCAGUUUUAUAAUGAUGAGAAAUCAUGCUUAUAAAAGAACUCCUUAUAAAAGGCUUGUUUUUAAAAUGUGACGCUUAUCCAUUUCGCUUAGGCAAGAGAAACUUCAAGCGGUUCAAAUACAAAAGGCUUUAAGUUUUGCAAAACACUUUGAAUUUUGC
rnacentral:misc_RNA from 1 species